rfam:Brassica rapa chromosome A9, whole genome shotgun sequence.
UCUUUCCUCAUCAGCCAAAUUCUGAAUACAAAAGCUAAACUCUCAAUCGCUUAUUUACAUCGAAACAGAUAUCAACAUGAUUCACAAUCCCACCCGUUUGAUUCACAAUCACACCUAGAAUACAAACAACUAAAAUUAUUUAUAAGGAUUCUUUCAAAGUUUUAAGAUAAAAAAUCUGCAAAUGCAUAUAUACUAUUUAAUCUAGAGAAGCCUCCUCCUGAAGUUUCUCGUAGUUGAUUGAUAAGUACGAGCGAGAAGACCCACACCGAUCCCAACACCAACCCUUACACCAAGUCCAAU